CCCCAUCUUUUGAUGCAAAGCAGACUUAAUUUCCAAUUUCCUGACAUGCCGAUCAAGUGAGAUGCUGAAGAAAUCAGCGAGUAGCAACAGAUUCACUUUGCAACACUGGUGCAAUUGCUCUGAAGUCAGAGCAGUAACAAUUUGCUCCAGGCUAAACGUUUUUCCUAGCACACCCAACGCUCCUCUCACACAUAUGCAACAACAGCCAAGCAAAUCAGCGGCAACUCAACGGGGACCAGCCCCCAGCUGCAGUGGUGCGAGCAACUAAAACAAGACAAUAAUAUGGACAAAAUGCACCUUUCUUCAUUGAUGCUCUAAGCAAGGAGUAUAUUAGUGGGAUGUCGGGCUCAUCAGAUUGCCAGAAGAACAGCGAGCGUCUGCUGAGGCUAAGAACCCAGAAUUGUGAAAUGAAGAUCUGGAAGACUGCACUUUUUGCUGUUAUUAUUGUGGCAACAGCAUCAGCAAAGCCACUAUAUCAGGCUGGCAAAAGAUCCAGAUCAUCUGAAUCAUCGGAUUCCAGGUAUUUGCCAGCAUCAACAAAAUCAUCAGAGCUUUCUCUGUCAUCUGAUUCGUCGGAGUCCCCGCAAUUACUGAAAUCAUCAGGGUCAUCAGAGUGGUCAUCAGAGUCGUCAUCAGAGUCGUCGUCAGAGUCGUCUGAGUCAUCUGAGUCGUCUGAGUCAUCCAAGUCAUCAGAAUCAAAUGAGGAAAGCACAAUCACAUUAAUUUCUUCAGGAACAGAGAUGACGACUCCAGGGAUCAUCACAGAGAUAACUACUCCAGGGAUCAUCACAGAGAUAACUACUCCGGGGAUCAACACUGAGAUAACUACUCCGGGGAUCAACACUGAGAUGACGACUCCGGGGAUCAACACUGAGAUGACAACUUCAAAGGCCAUUGAAGCAACAACAACAAGUCCUGUUUCUAGGUGUAUCACAAUGGACAUAAUGACUACAAACCGUAGAGGGGACAACUGAGAAUCACUCUGAUUAUUACGAAACCAUUUACAAGCAGCAAAUCUUUCCAAAAAUAAUGUUAUUUGCUUCUGAUUCUUCUCUUACUUUCCCAUUGGUUGUGCGUAUUGUUGUCCUUAGAUAUGUAGGCCUACAUAACCUUCCUUCAGUGCCAUUUUGAAGUGAGGAAGGGACCACUGUCUUUUUAUAUACAUGUGAAUUGACAGUUUUCCAGUGCAGACUAUCUCUGUCUAUUUUUUUUAUCAUAAUAUGGGGUUUACUUGUGACUUAGGAAUAAAACUGUUAAUGCGGAGAACUCUCUGCUCCUUGGAUGAACAUAAGGACUGAACAGCAUUUUCAUUAUAAAAAAACAAAAACAAAUAAAUAAUGACAAUAAUGAUAGUAUAUUUAAAUAACAGGUGCUUUGAUGUCGUAAUAUGUUAUUAUUUCUUUUAAUUUUGAUACCCCAAUGGGAGAAUAGUAUGAACAAAGAUUUUAAAUAGAAUGGCAUCCCUUUAGAAUAUGGCUUCUUUUUGCGUCUUAUAUAUGGUAGUACCUCGUUAAUAAUGAAAAACAACUGCUGUAACCUGUUUAUAAUUGUCUAUUAAUGAUUUUAAAAGUGUUACAACCUAAAUAAACAACCUGAAUAUAAACCAU